rnacentral:tRNA from 1 species
UCGUUAGCUCAGUUGGCUAGAGCACCUGACUUUUAAUCAGGGUGUCAUGGGUUCGAGUCCCGUAC